CCUACGGGAGGCUGCAGUGGGGAAUAUUGCACAAUGGGGGAAACCCUGAUGCAGCAACGCCGCGUGAGUGAAGAAGUAUUUCGGUAUGUAAAGCUCUAUCAGCAGGGAAGAAGAUGACGGUACCCGAGUAAGAAGCCCCGGCUAACUACGUGCCAGCAGCCGCGGUUAAACGUAGGGGGCAAGCGUUAUCCGGAUUUACCGGGGGUAAAGGGGGCGGAGAGGGUGGGACAAGUCUGAAGUGAAAGCCCAGGGCUCAACCCCGGGACUGCUUUGGAAACCGCGUGGCUGGAGUGCUGGAGAGGUAAGCGGAAUGCCUAGUGUAGCGGUGAAAUGCGUAGAUAUUAGGAAGAACACCAGUGGCGAAGGCGGCUUACUGGACAGUAACUGACGUUGAGGCUCGAAAGCGUGGGGAGCAAACAGGAUUAGAUACCCGGGUAGUC
rnacentral:rRNA from 1 species